UCAGGUAGCUAGAUAGUUGCUGUAAAUAUAGUUUUUUACAGAGGAAAGUCUGGGCUUCAUGGAAUAAUAGAGCUGGAUAACUCCCAGCAAAGGUAACUUUAGGGAAAGUGCCGCAGAAAAUAUACCGCCUGUUAAAUUGGUAAGGGUGAAAUGGUAAGGUAAGAGCUUACCGAUCUUUUAGUAAUAAAAGAUGCAUGGUAAACCCCUCUAGAAGCAAGAUCAAGUAGUGUUUUUUUUAACUUUAUUCCAAGUUUUAAACACGGGUAGAUUGCUAGAGUUUAAUGGUAACAUUAAAUCGAGAUGAAUAACCAUCAGAUACAUUAUAGUAUCUACAGAACCCAGCUUAUAGGCUGCCUGUUGUU
rnacentral:RNase_P_RNA from 1 species